rnacentral:tRNA from 1 species
GCAUUUUUUGCUCAGGGGCAGAGCACCAGCUUCCCGAGCUGGGGGUCGCGGGUUCAAAUCCCGUCGCCCGCUCCA